CCCUUACCACGUCCAGUUCUGUUUUCUCCAGGACAUCCACCAGCACCUCAAUCUUGGUCUCCUCGUUGAAGAGAAAAUCAUCGUCCACCCAGAGAACGUAUUUGGUGGUGACCUGAGAUAUGGCCAGGUUCCUACCAGCAAACCAACCCUACCCAAUCUGAGAGGGACAUACCUUCCCAAAGGGCAUAGUGUAAUACUCCACGUGAUUGUCUUUAAUUUCCAGGGGCUUCUGGCUGUCAUCAGCGUGCUGGUGUAUGUCACGUGCUGAAGAAUGAACUUCAACAGCUUCCGGUCACUGGUAGAAAUGAUCAGCUGCUUCUGGCCUCUGCCCUGCACCACACUGUCUGGGACAUCAGCAAGGGUGUUCAGUGUCCCCAGAGAAGCUGUCAGGGUGACCUA
rnacentral:lncRNA from 1 species